rnacentral:rRNA from 1 species
CGCGAAGAACCUUACCAGGUCUUGACAUAUCGUUGACCGUCCUAGAGAUAGGAUUUUCCCUUCGGGGACAAUGGAUACAGGUGGUGCAUGGUUGUCGUCAGCUCGUGUCGUGAGAUGUUGGGUUAAGUCCCGCAACGAGCGCAACCCCUGUCGUUAGUUGCCAGCAUUCAGUUGGGGACUCUAACGAGACUGCCAGUGACAAACUGGAGGAAGGUGGGGAUGACGUCAAAUCAUCAUGCCCCUUAUGACCUGGGCUACACACGUGCUACAAUGGUUGGUACAAAGAGAAGCGAAGCGGUGACGUGGAGUAAACCUCAUAAAGCCAAUCUCAGUUCGGAUUGUAGGCUGCAACCCGCCUACAUGAAGUUGGAAUCGCUAGUAAUCGCGGAUCAGAAUGUCGCGGUGAAUACGUUCCCGGGUCUUGUACACACC